rnacentral:RNase_P_RNA from 1 species
UAUGCAAUGAGUUUAAGCUCAAAACAUCCUGCAAAUAUACAUACACAUAAUGAAAGAAAGAAAGAAAAAAGGGAAAAAAAGAUCACAUAUUUAUAUGUUUCUUGUUUUUUCUUUUUUUUUUUUUUUCUUUCUCCUAAUUUGUGUAAUUUUUAUAAAAACAGGAAGGAAGGUCUGAGAUGCUGCAUUUAAAGAAUAGAAAAAAAAGUCAUUGAAUUUUAUUAAAUUUUUUUUUUUUUUUUUUUUUUAUUCUUAUGAAUUAAAAAAAAAGGAAAAAAAAGUUAUAACAUUCAUUGUUACUUUUUAUUUCAUAUAUAUAUAUAUAUAUAUAUAUAUAUAUAUAUUCUUUAAUAAAAUUUUUGAGAGAAAAAGUAUUGAACAAAUAUUAAUUAGUUACCAGAAAUAUCAAUCAUAUAUUUAAAAUUUCGUAAGAAAUUUUGUGUAUGGUUUUGAAAAAGCUAAUAAGCAAGUAUACAUUGGUGAGUUCGAUUUUUGAGGUUUUUCUUUAUUCCUACAUCUCAUAUAUCAAUAUUUUUUUUAUAAUGUAUAUGAGAUGUUAAUAAGAAAAAUAACUUAAUUCAGACUACUCCUAAAUUCAUUGCUACAA